CCUACGGGUGGCAGCAGUGGGGAAUAUUGGGCAAUGGGCGCAAGCCUGACCCAGCAACGCCGCGUGAAGGAAGAAGGCUUGCGGGUUGUAAACUUCUUUUCUCAGGGACGAAGCAAGUGACGGUACCUGAGGAAGAAGCCACGGCUAACUACGUGACAGCAGCCGCGGUAAUACGUAGAUGGCAAGCGUUAUACGGAUUUACUGGGUGUAAAGGGAGCGUAGGCGGGAAUGCAAGUCAGACGUGAAAAGCGCGGUCUCAACCUGUGGACUGCAUUUGAAACUGUAGUUCUUGAGUGCUGGAGAGGCAGGCGGAAUUCCUAGUGUAGCGGUGAGAUGCGGAGAUAUUAGGAGGAA
rnacentral:rRNA from 1 species